GAUGAACGCUAGCGACAGGCUUAACACAUGCAAGUCGAGGGGCAGCAUGAACUUAGCUUGCUAAGUUUGAUGGCGACCGGCGCACGGGUGAGUAACGCGUAUGCAACUUACCUAUCAGAGGAGAAUAGCUCAUCGAAAGAUGAAUUAAUGCUCCAUAAAACAGGGGUCCCGCAUGGGAAUAUUUGUUAAAGAUUCAUCGCUGAUAGAUAGGCAUGCGUUCCAUUAGGCAGUUGGUGAGGUAACGGCCCACCAAGGCGACGAUCGGUAGCCGGACUGAGAGGUUGAACGGCCACAUUGGGACUGAGACACGGCCCAG
rnacentral:rRNA from 1 species